CACGUAGGGUGCGAGCGUUGUCCGGAAUUAUUGGGCGUAAAGAGCUCGUAGGCGGUGUGUCGCGUCGGCCGUGAAAACCUGCAGCUUAACUGUGGGCUUGCGGUCGAUACGGGCAUCACUGGAGUUCGGCAGGGGAGACUGGAAUUCCUGGUGUAGCGGUGAAAUGCGCAGAUAUCAGGAGGAACACCGGUGGGCGAAGGCGGGGUCUCUGGGCCGAUACUGACGCUGGAGGAG
rnacentral:rRNA from 1 species